CGAAUCUCGAGCAACUUACUACUUAUUGUGAUGAUAAAUUUGAUGAUGAUUUUGUUCUCGUCGAAAGCCAAUUACCGAUAUUUGGAAAUCUUCUACAUCUCGAGCUUGUCGAUGCUUCAAAUAAUGGAUCUACUCUCACAAAAUUUUUGAACUUGUGUCCAAAUUUACUCAACUUUUCUCUGACUGUGUAUUUUAAUAAAAUGAAUCGAAUUCUUCAAAUCAACAGAAACUUCAAUGUCCAAAGAUUGGAUUUAGAUUUUUUUACUAAGGAUCGAGAAAAUAUACUAAAAUUUAUAGAAAAGUUUCCGAACUGUCGAUACUUGAGUAUCAGAAAUAGUUUAUAUUUACUAUCUUCACAAGAUUUGAUCCAGAUUAAAAGUAAAUUACCUCAUUUGUCGUUACUGCAUUUCAAAAAUGAUUGGACCGAUUUAGCAGAAAUACAAACCAUCAAAAACUAUUGUCACUCGCAAAAUCCUAAAAUUGAUGUUUACUUUGGUUCUGAAGAUGACAAACUAUUGAUGUCUCAUGAAAUUUAUCGAAAGUUUCGUAAUUCAUUUCUGCCUUAUAUUAAGUCAGGAAGUUAAACGUUUCUGAUUUUCCAUUAAUCAUCGAGCCUAACGAAAAAAUCGGACUGAUUUUAAUUUAAUAUCAGUUCGUUUGUAUAAUCUUUUUG